rnacentral:rRNA from 1 species
UGAAGGUAGAAGUAUGAAAGGUGAGAMCUGCCCAAUGGUUGUAUCUAAAAGGGUUGGUAGAGCCAGCUUUAUAAAGACAAUUAAAUGGCCGCGGUAACACUGACCGUGAUAAUGUAGCGUAAUCAAUAGUCAAUUAAUUGUUGGCCGGUAUGAAUGGUGUCACGAGGGUCUCACUGUCUUAAGGAAAUUUCCAGUGAAAUUGAAUUUGUAGUGAAGAUGCUACAUCCAAAUUGUUAGACAAGAAGUCCCCAUGGAACUUUACUGGAAACUUAUGUGGCUUAAAUUAAUUUAUUUCUUACAAAUAAAUAGUUUUUUAAAUGUGGUGUUAACCCCUCGGAUUAACGAGGGUUAGAAAAGCUCACUCUUUUAUUUUAAGAAAGCCAACUCAAAAUUUUAUGUCUUUGGGAUUUGAUAAGUGGGACAGUUUGGUUGGGGCGACCGCCUUUAAAAAAGUAACGAAGGCGGGCUUAAGAUAACUUUUUAGUUAUGUCUGACUGCCAAGGGGGGAUCCUGAGCAGACACUUACUUUUUAGGUGGGUUUAAGUGACCCGUUAAUUUAGGGUGAAAUAGUUAACGAUAANCAAAUAAAAGUUACCCUGGGGAUAACAGCGCAAUAACGUUUGAGAGUUUUCAUUGACGGCGAUGUUUGCGACCUCGAUGUUGAAUUGCGGCAUCCUGGGGUGC